rnacentral:rRNA from 1 species
UACGUAGGGUCCGAGCGUUAAUCGGAAUUACUGGGCGUAAAGCGUGCGCAGGCUGUUCUGUAAGUCAGAUGUGAAAUCCCCGAGCUCAACUUGGGAACUGCGUUUGAAGCUACAGGACUAGAAUAUGUCAGAGGGGGGGUAGAAUUCCACGUGUAGCAGUGAAAUGCGUAGAGAUGUGGAGGAAUACCAAUGGCGAAGGCAGCCCCCUGGGAUAAUAUUGACGCUCAUGCACGAAAGGCGUGGGGAGCAAACAGG